CCUCCGGCGCGGCGGGCGGGGGGCGCGGGGCGCCGAUUGGAGCCCGCGCGUCAGCUGGGGCCGCCGUCUGGACGCUUAAAGGGCCAGGCCGCCCUGCGUGCCGGCGGGGGGCGCGGACACGCGUGGUGUGCGCGGUCCCGGUGCAGCCUGCUCUGCCUCGGGCCGCAGGGGACCCCAGCCGGGUCCCACUGCUCCCAUCCUAGCGGAUGGGCCCCGGCCUCACUCUCUCGCGCCGAGCCCCCUUCUUGCCGGGAAGUUCGUCCGAGAGUCUAAUCUCGGUGCCUUCCAGCUGCGCCACAGAGGCGGGGUCGGAGUAGGAGGCGGCCCUGAAAUGGGGAAGCUGGGCGCGCCCACUCCCCAACCAGCUGCAGAAAUGCUUCCACCUGCUCCCCUGAGCGACCCCAGCUGAGAGACCGAACCCCCGUACCCCAGCCGCGCUCACCACCCCCACCCUCUGGCCUGAGCUGCUUUGAUCUGAGGGUCACCUCGGCUGAAUGACAACAACGGAGCCUGGAGGAAACCUGGAGUUUGCAGGGCAAGAGAGACCAAGCACCAUCACUGAGCAGGUGCACCAUCUGGGCAGGUGAACAUCUCCGCCUGCAGUGCCUCUCCCGCCCCACCUCACGCCCCGCCGAUACUCAGCCGCCAGAUGGAAACGGACAGCAAAGACGAAGUCUCUUUGCCGCCUGGCUCAGCAAAGAGACUCAACAUUUUCUUUUCCAUUUCGGAAAGAUUACUGGAAGCCUGGACGAGUAAAGAGAGAUGAAACAGGCACAGAUUUAGACUAAGUAUAUAUUUUAAUUUCUACAAGGUCCCCCUUUUCAAGUUUUAGGAACAUUUAAAUGAAGUGUAUACAAAUUAGACAUUGCCAAUAUGUACAAAAGUAUUCUCUACAGUUUUUGAACAAUACCAGCUAUAUCAUGUUUCAUUUGCAGUAAACGACAUUACAAAAACAGUCCAAUAAUACAUUUUCUAUUAAGAAGCACAAUACACAACAUAAUUAAAUUUUAUUAAAAAAUAACUUAAAAUACAGAACAAUCCCCUCUAGGCAGAAAAGCUGUUUCUGUAGUUCAUUCAGUAAACACACAGUUGAAUGCUACGGCUGAGGGCUGUUCUUGUCCAUGGAAGAAACAAAUGAGGCUUCCAGGGCCCACCUUGUUGGGAUGAAACUCCAGCGCAACGGGCAGUGAUGGUCUGUGGUAGGUGGGGUUCUGAAUGGCCUGCGCCCCGCCCCCCCCAACUCCAUGCCCAAAUCCCAGGAACCCGCGCCUGUGCAGUCACUCCUGUGAUUAUGUUAUGUUCUGUGGCAGAACUGACCUUAAAACAGGGAGACUUGAUCAGUGGGCUUGAUCUAAUCACAUGAACCUUAAAACAGAGGAAGAAGGCAGAGGGAUGGGAGGUGUGAGAGGAUGGGCCAUUGAGAAUUUGAAGAUGGACGGGAGCACGCGAGAAGGAAUGAGAAGGCUGAGGCAGAAGCCUCCAGAUGACAGCCAGCAAGGAACUGAGUGAACUUGGAAGCAGAUUCUUCCCCACAGCCUCCAUAAAGGAAUGCUGCCCUGCUGACCCUUGAUUUCAGCCUUGUGAGACCCUGAGCAGAGAAUCUAGCCACACUGUGCCAGACUCACAAGCUACAGAACUGGUGAGCUAAGAAAUAGGCGUUGUCUUAUGCUGCUAAGUUUGGGGUACUUUGUUACACAGCAGCAGAAAACAAAUACAUCGUCCAAGGGUAACUUUUCUUAACCUAAUUAGAUUUGGCAGUUUGUUGGGCUUCUGAAUGUGUUUUUUUCCCCCCACUGAAUAUUACAGGCAACUUUUGAAAACCCUUCACAUGAAUCACACAUUGUUUUGUGUUCACUAAGAAGUCCGUUUAUUUGACUUGGGUCCUGUUUUCUGACGUACUCUAUCAACCUGGCAAACAGCUGACCACUUAACCCUGUUUAUGAACCUUUUACGGAUGACCGUUUUAAUAUAUCCAAGGUCUCCCCUCCACCCAUCCGAGGCUGUCAAAUCCCUCCAACUGAGGGCUCUUUCCCACUUCCCAGGUACCCCAAGCCAAGGCCUGGGUUGGGUUGGUGCAGAGUUCCACACCCAACAUCCAGUAGGAUUUUCUUCUGCGUAACUGAUUAAACUGGCACUAAGGUGAUUAAGUACACUUGGGGGAAAAACUCAAAGAUU